rnacentral:rRNA from 1 species
GCAGAAGAAGCACCGGCUAACUCCGUGCCAGCAGCCGCGGUAAUACGGAGGGUGCGAGCGUUAAUCGGAAUUUACUGGGCGUAAAGCGCAUGCAGGUGGUUUGUUAAGUCAGAUGUGAAAGCCCGGGGCUCAACCUCGGAAUUGCAUUUGAAACUGGCAAACUAGAGUACUGUAGAGGGGGUAGAAUUUCAGGUGUAGCGGUGAAAUGCGUAGAGAUCUGAAGGAAUACCGGUGGCGAAGGCGGCCCCCUGGACAGAUACUGACACUCAGAUGCGAAAGCGUGGGGAGCAAACAGGAUUAGAUACCCUGGUAG